ACGCUCGACACCUACGGGAAGCAGCAGUCGGGAAUAUUGCGCAAUGGAGGAAACUCUGACGCAGUGACGCCGCGUGCAGGAAGAAGGUUUUCGGAUUGUAAACUGCUUUAGACAGGGAAGAAAGAAAUGACAGUACCUGUGGAAUAAGCUCCGGCUAACUACGUGCCAGCAGCCACGGUAAUCUGAGCGGGCUGGCAAGGC
rnacentral:rRNA from 1 species